rnacentral:rRNA from 1 species
AUGAACGCUGGCGGCGUGCCUAAUCCAUGCCGGUCGAGCGAACAGACGAGGAGCUUGCUCCUCUGACGUUAGCGGCGGACGGGUGAGUAACACGUGGAUAACCUACCUAUAAGACUGGGAUAACUUCGGGAAACCGGAGCUAAUACCGGAUAAUAUAUUGAACCGCAUGGUUCAAUAGUGAAAGACGGUUUUGCUGUCACUUAUAGAUGGAUCCGCGCCGCAUUAGCUAGUUGGUAAGGUAACGGCUUACCAAGGCAACGAUGCGUAGCCGACCUGAGAGGGUGAUCGGCCACACUGGAACUGAGACACGGUCCAGACUCCUACGGGAGGCAGCAGUAGGGAAUCUUCCGCAAUGGGCGAAAGCCUGACGGAGCAACGCCGCGUGAGUGAUGAAGGUCUUCGGAUCGUAAAACUCUGUUAUUAGGGAAGAACAAAUGUGUAAGUAACUAUGCACGUCUUGACGGUACCUAAUCAGAAAGCCACGGCUAACUACGUG